CGCCCGGCCCGGAUCCCGUGGGGGGAAUCCGCACCGGGGGAUAUGGGAAGCGCCCCGACCGUCGAC
rnacentral:ncRNA from 1 species